GAUCGAAUCGGGAGAUUCAUCGUCAGCGAUUCUGGCACGUGAGGGUUUCGUGAUGCCGGAGACCUCGCGUCUCAUGGCACACGUCCUUAUUGCCUCGUAUCGCCGGCGUGCACUUCUCCCAUAGUAGGACGUCGCGACCCGUUGGGUGUCGGUCUACGGCCCGGGUGGGCGCCUGUCUUGUGUUACGCUUCACCGCGUCAUGUGGCAGACCCCCGGUUGUCUGACCAGCUGCUCGGCGGUACUCGCACGGUAUCGAGUCGCAAAUAUUCGAACUGCGUCCGGCCCGCCGCAAGCGAGGCCAGUGUUUCCCGGAUGUACGGACCUAGCGCCGUCACCGGGCCUGGCCAGCUGUUGGUUGGCGGUGUCCUUGGACUGGCUCAUAAAUUAUGAUACCGGUCGGCGACGCUACUGCUUUGGGUACUUUCAGGACCCGUCUUGAAACACGGACCAAGGAGUCUAACAUGUGCGCGAGUCAUUGGGAACUCUUAAGCCUAAAGGCGCAAUGAAAGUGAAGGUCGGCCUCGCGCCGACCGAGGGAGGAUGGGCCGCGUCACGAUGCGGUCCCGCACUCCCGGGGCGUCUCGUUCUCAUUGCGAGAAGAGGCGCACCCAGAGCGUACACGUUGGGACCCGAAAGAUGGU
rnacentral:rRNA from 1 species